GCGGCCGUAGUCUAGUCUGGAUCAGGACGACGGCCCCCCACGCCGUAGAUCGUGGGUUCAAAUCCCACCGGCCGCA
rnacentral:tRNA from 1 species